CUUUAAAAAUCUGGAUCAAGCUGAAAAUUGAAACGACACACUUUAAGUGUGUUCGAGUCUCUCAAAUGCUUGCAAUGCGAAGUGAAACAUCUUCGG
rfam:Pluralibacter gergoviae strain JS81F13 contig_128, whole genome shotgun sequence.